rnacentral:rRNA from 1 species
AGGACGAACGCUGGCGGCGUGCUUAACACAUGCAAGUCGAGCGGAAAGGCCCUUCGGGGUACUCGAGCGGCGAACGGGUGAGUAACACGUGAGUAAUCUGCCCCUAGCUCUGGGAUAGCUCCGGGAAAACCGGGAUUAAUACCGGAUACGACCACUACGGACAUCUGUGGUGGUGGAAAGAACUUCGGCUAGGGAUGAGCUCGCGGCCUAUCAGCUUGUUGGUGGGGUAACGGCCUACCAAGGCGACGACGGGUAGCCGGCCUGAGAGGGCGACCGGCCACACUGGGACUGAGACACGGCCCAGACUCCUACGGGAGGCAGCAGUGGGGAAUAUUGCGCAAUGGGCGAAAGCCUGACGCAGCGACGCCGCGUGGGGGAUGAAGGCCUUCGGGUUGUAAACCCUUUCAGCAGGGACGAAGCGAAAGUGACGGUACCUGCAGAAGAAGCGCCGGCUAACUACGUGCCAGCAGCCGC